UGUUUUUGUUCAUUGUUGUCGUUUUCCAUUUCCAUUCAUUUUUUGAAAUGGCUGGGAUGACUAACGUUCUUGAAACUGUCCGCGAGGACGAUUUUGUAGAAUAUUUCAUAUUUCCACAAAUAGAAACCCACGAUGAGCAGGAACAAGAAAAUAUUCUAACGGCGCUAUUAGAUAAAACCAAUAAAAUAAUUCAUAAAUAUACCAAAAACUUUUUGUGGCACAAAGACGAUUUUAAACUUGUAAUUAGAACAUCCACAUCCAAUUUCUUAAAUGAAAUCGAAGGCCAAAAAGAAGCACUGCCUCCACAUCUUUAUGGGGUAUCACAUUAUGGAGACAAUAUUGAAGAUGAAUGGUUUAUGGUAUUUCUUUUGAGGCAACUAACAAAGGAAUUGACUGGAUCCAUUGCCAGAGUUCAUGAUAUUGAUGGGGAGUUCCUUCUUAUUGAAGCAGCUGAAUAUUUACCAAACUGGGCUAGACCAGAAACUUGUGAAAGUAGGGUCUAUAUGUACAAUGGCAACAUCCACUUAAUUCCGCAUGAUGAUUCAACUUCAACCACAAUCACAAUAAACGAAGCUGUGUCAUCAAUAAGAGAAAAUCCCACAUCGACAGUUGCAUCAACAGAAAUCCAGCAAGCCAUAAAAACAAAACUCGAUGGUUAUCCCGAUAAAUUGAAAGACAAUAUCCAUAACGCAGUAGUUUACAUACCAAUAGGAGUAGCGAAAGCUUUAAAAGCGAAACCCAACCUGAUCUCAGCCGCUGUUCAAGUGUUUUGUAAUAGAGACUCAGUUGACCUUAAAGCCUGUAGAGCUAUGAAAUACUUUCCACCUGAAAAUAGAGUUAAACAAAGGGUUACCUUCACUAAAUGUCUGUAUGCCAUGUUAACCCAUAGUAAGUAUCUUCCAGACAGAAGAACUGGAUGGAAUCUACCUCCUACCAAUUCCAAAGAAUACCAGUCUAAUAUUUUAGGAGUCAAACUAGCUUGUGGCUUUGAAAUUUUGGCUUCCCAAGCUAAGCCGAGUACUGACGUUGAAUCUGAUAGAGGCUGGCAGAAUUACCUAAAAAGUCUGAAAGAAAAAGGGUAUUUUAAAGAUUAUUUAGAACAUUCUUUAGGUUACAAUAAUUUACUAAACAAAGCCAAGGAGUAUUACGUCGAUCAUAGAGAUUCUAUGCAUCAAAACUCGUCAAUAGGUCAAGAAAUUUUAGAUUUAAGUAGAAAUAUCGAUAUAGAAGUCGAAGAAGAGACGAACCUGGUAGAUGACGACGAUUCUUGGCUGAAUAUUAGUCCUGAUGAUCUCGACAAGAUGCUUCAAGAAAAAUAUGGACAGAAAAAAAUAUUCAACGUUAAUAAUAAUACAGACGCGUCUAGUUUUACAGAAAAGUUAAACAGUUUCUUGAACCACGUUUCUGAUGUGGAUGGAGCAGAGUUUCCCAAUGAAAACGAAUCUCCUGUUAGACCCCCAAGGCGCAAAAAUAAAUCGAAGGUGUCUUUUUCAUCUGAAGCUAAAACGGAAGAAACAACAUCUAACAACAAAAUAAACUUCGACCCGAACUCUUUUACUUGUGCACUACAAAACAUCCUAAAUUUCUCCAUACCCGAGGACGAUUCUUGGGACUUGGACUCCGAUUCGGAAAUGAGUGAAUAUGAAGAAGAUAACUAUGUCAAAGAUCAAAGUUACGAAACCGCGAAAGAUAAAAAUAAGCUGCAAAAAUAUAUGGAAGAAAUGGACCGCGAAUUAGAAGGAACUACUAUUGGACAAAGUUUUGAGAAGAAGAACGGAGAUAAUUUCGAAGAUAUAGAGAAUUUCAAGCCGGUCGAUAUUAACGUUAAUGCCUUAAAAUACAUUUUAGAGAGUUACAAAAGUCAGUUAGGGGAUGCGGGACCGUCUAGUAAUAUGCUGGGACCUAUGGGGCUCCAUCUUGAUCCCAAGGAUAACAUUGAUAUGGAUUAAAAAGAAGUUAUAAUUCGAUUUGGAGAAAAACACCAUAUAUGUAUACCCGUACGUUACAAAAAACUUGGCACAUCAUAGGCAUUUAGGGUUAAAAUCAGAUUACAGUUGAGUCCAGGGUUCUUUACCCGUGCGUCAUCAUUUAAAGCAUACGAAAUAAGUCGGAAAUUUACUCCACGCAACAGCAAGUCACAUAAAGUGACUACUGCUCCGAUAACGGGUUAUAUUAUAAAAUUUGACGUUAUCAAAUAAAUAAAAUGUCAAAUGUAAGUUUUGCUUUAAAAUUUUAUAAAAAAUUUUAAAUAUGAUUAAUAUUUUUUUUGUCAUUUUAUUCACUUUGUCGGAAACUUAAACACAACCAUUCCUUAACUGUGUGAAGGAGGUUAGCUUUGUAUGUUGUAAAAAUUAAUGGCAAAAUAAAAUACACUUACCAUAAAAUUUCAAACUCCAAUAUACCUAUAAUUAGUUGUGAAAACAACUGUUUGUGUGAUAUAAAAAACUUAUAAUAUAUAAAAACUAAAUAUAUUAUUAAAAAAUCACUUUAUUGCUUUUCCUCUUUUCUCGAUUGAGUAUUAGUUUUUGUUGUACAGUAUAUAAAUUAUUACAAUCACUGAAUACAUAGUUAGUGAAAAAAUUAUCAUAUUAAUUAACUGAAUUAAUAAUUAAGGCAAUUAUACAAGUAACAGUUAUCCAAGAAAAGCCAUCUCUUUAAAGUUAAUGAUGACAUUGUCAAGUAAUGUUUACAUAUACAUAUCAGUGAGAAUUUUACUACACGUAAUUUGCCGUGUUAAGAUAGAAAAAGUAGGGAUAGCCGUAAAAUAUUUGCGCCUACACUCAUAACAGGCGGUAGAUGGUUUGUCUUUAUAACCCGAUCAAAGACCAAUCUGACCCCAAAAAAAAUAAAGGAAGGAUGAAAAUUUGGGAAUAGGUAGUUGAAAUUGUCUAUUAUUAUAUAAAAAAAAGUUUACAAUUCUAAGUCCGCUCCAUUUAACAAACAUGAAGGGGAAUACCCCCUCUCGAAGGUGAAAAACAUACAUUCAAAAUAAGACCGGAAUUGGAUAAAAUGACUGAUUCUAAACAACUUUUGUUCUAAAGAGUUUUUUCGCUAAGUCAAUACUUUUCGAGUUAUUUGCGAGUGAAUAUGUUCAUUUUUAACAAAAAAAAACUUGUUUUUGGGCGGUUUUUCGGAGAUAACUCAAAAAGUAGAAGCAGAGUUGUAGCUAAUGAAAAGUAGGUUCUUCUUCGUCAAAUUCCAAAUCGAAUAUUUCAAUGUGAAAUAACCCAAAAACGGAGCACUUUUCGGGGAAAAUUUAUUUCAACUUUUUUAAAGUGUUUAAAAAAGGUUUAUUUUUGUUUUUUUUUUUAACUUUUAACAUUAAAAGUAAGUGAGUUACGCUCAAAAUAUUGUUGGUUCCUUUUAUUUUUUGGUAACAAAAAUCGCGAAAAUCGCCCCCUAAUUAGCAUCACAAAUAAAUUUUAUCAUUACCACUUCUUGACAAGUUACUUUGCUUAUGUAUUAUUUAUAUGAUCUGUAAAAGCUGUAGUUAAAAUGGCUUGAACGAGUAACUUAUCACGAGUUUAGGCAAAUUUUGAACAGCCAUAGCAUAACCAAUUUUUGUCUAACAAGAAAACAAAAAAUCAAAAAUAUUCAGAAAAGCAAAACGAAUAUUUUAUUACUCUUUGAGAUUUUUGGUAUUACUAAUAAUUUUUAAGUUAAUUCCAUAAAAAAUUCAAUUUUUUUUUCAAAAUUAAAAAAACAUGUUUUAUUUUAAACCCAUUUUUUUUUCAAAAAUGGGCACUUUAAACCAAUGAAACUUAUAGAUAAUAUAAACAAUACAUAAUUAAAGUAACUUGUGAAGCGGUAACGAUUAAUUUUAUUUGGGAAGCUAAGUAGGGGAUGAUUUUCGCGAUUUUUUUAGCAAAAAAUAAAAAAGACCAGCAAUAUUUUGAGCGUAACUUAUACUUUUAAUUUUAGAAGUUUUUUUAGAAAACAAAAAUAAACCUUUUUUAAACACUUGAAAAAACCCUAAAAAACCUUUUAAAAUCCUUUUGUAAUGAAUUUUCCCCGAAGAAAAGAGCUCCGUUUUUGGGUUAUUUCAAAUUGAAAUAUUCGAUUUGGAAUUUGACGAAGAAGAAUCUACUUUUCAUUAGCUACAACUGUGCUUCUACUAGGUCUACAGACCUCAUGCAUACACCAUUUUUUUUUCAGUUUUUUUAUAAGCUAUAUUUUAGCUAAGAAUCGCGUUUCGCUAAAAUAGUUACUUUUUGAGUUAUCUGCGAAAAACCGUCCAAAAACAUGUUUUUUUUUUUUGUUAAAAUUGAACAUAAUAUUAUUCACUCGCAAAUAACAAGAAAAGUAUUAACUUAGUGAAAAAACUAUAUAGAACAAAAGUUACUUAGAAUUAGUCAUUUUAUACAAUUUCGGACUUAUUUUGAACGUAUAUUUUUUCAUCCCCGAGAAAAUAUUUCCCAAUUUUUGUAAAAUGGAGGGGAUGUAGAAUUGUAAACUUUUUCUUAUAUAAUAAUAGACAAUUUCAACUACCUAUUCCCAAAUUUUCAUCCUUCCUUUAUUUUUUUGGAGGUUUUCGUCAAAUUUUGUGUUCCCUGGUCGGGCUAUUAGUUUCAUGCGUGGAAGAAAAUGAUGCUAGAUAAAAAGUAUGUGUUUUCUCUCGUCAGGUAUUAAUGACGUACGGGUAAAGAAUCGUGGACUCAACUGUAUGUAUAUAUAAGCAGUAGUUCAUGGUGUUUUUCCUUCAUUAUGCCAAUUGGUAGAUUUCCUGCAAUGCCGUCUUAAAAUAUUUUAGUGUCAAAUUGUUGCCUUAAAGUUAGAAAACGGUAUCGUUUUUUAAUUUUACACAUGUUUUUUAUUAACACUACAAAACUGAGCAAUAUUUUGUACUGGAACUUUUGUAAUGUAACUAACCAAAACGUUUGAUACUAAAAUUUAUCGACACGAUUUACCGUUGCCGCCUGAUCAAACUAGUUUUCCUAAGUCACAUGUAUUUUCAUUAGCCAUAAAUGACACAUCUUUAUUAAAUAAUAUGAUCUUUGUCAAUGUAUCUUUUAGUUUUAUGUACAUAUAACUCUUUCAUUGACACCUCGGUCUGAACCGUCAACAAAAUUUGUCGUUGGGAGAUCAGAAUGUCAGAUUCUUCUUCUUGUAGUGCCUAUCGUUUCGGAUGUUGGCGACCAUCAUGGCAAUCUGUACUUUGCACAUUGCUGAUCUGAAAAUAUUUGUGGUUGUUGUUUUGAACCAUGUACGUAGAUUGUUCAACCAAGAAAUACUGCGCCCUACAUGUCCUCGUUUUUCUUUUACUUUUCCUUGUAAAAUUACUUGCAGCAAUCCAUAUCUUUCUCUGUUCCUCAUGGUGUGACCGAUUUUGGCUGGUUCUAUUGUGGUUAACAGUUUUUUUUGUAUUCCUUAUAAAACGUCCUGAUUAGUAACUUGGUCGGUAUAAGAUAUCUUCAGGAUUCGACGAUAAAGCCACAUUUAGAAAGUCCCAAUUUUCUUGCAGGUGGCGUCUGUGAGAGUUCACUACUCAACUCCGUACAACAGUAUAGUAAAGAUAUAACAUGUAACCUGUAUUGAUAAAUCAUUAAAUUUGAAUAACUCGGCCAUUUUUUGAAAUGCAGAUCUUGUUUUCUCUAUCCUAUAUUUAAUUAAUAGGGAAUGGUUCCAAUUUUAAUUGACGUUCGUAACAAGGUAGGUAUAUAUUUUUACUCUUUCUAUUUGUUGACCGUUCACACUGAUUCGUCCAAAUUGCUGUUCCUUUUUAGAGAUCAUCAUACAUUUUGUUUUCUUAAUGUCUAGUGAAAGUCCAUAUCUGUGACUUACUUCUGUGAUUCUAUUCAUUAACUACUAGAGGGCUUCAGAAAUAUCAGCGAAUACCACCGUGUCGUCUGUGUAUCUUAUACAUUCUCCAUUAAUUCGAAUUCUGACUUAAACAUCAUUUACUGCCUCUUGAAAGGCUUCCUCAAGUAUAAUUUGAAAAGCAGUAAUGAUAUUAUACAUCUCUGUGGGACUCUAAGUUUGAUUUUGAUAUAGUCGGAUUCUCCUGCCUUUGUCCGAAUAGACGAUGUUUGAUUCCAGUAAACAUUACUAAUGAUUCUUAGAUCACAGGUGUGUAUUCAUAUAUUGGUUAAUCCUCUCCAUCAGCUUGAAGCAUGCAUAAAUAUCGCAAUUUACAUCUCUACACUGCAUUCCGAAAACCAAACUGUGUGCGGCUGAUUUUUCUUCCCACAGUCUAUAAUAUAUCCAUUGAUGUAUAAUUUUUAGAAAUAAUUUUAAAAUACAAAAUAUAUGUCCAGGCCUAAUCCACAUGUAUUUAUUUAGGAAAUUUAAAAUCAUUAUAUUAUACAUUAUAGUUUCAAGGGUGUCGCAGGGUAAUACAAUAGAUUGUGUGCUUAACAAUUUGAAUAACAUUGGCUCUGACAGUCUUCUCUCACUGCGAUGAAGAUUAUUCGACGGCCAAAAUCGUCUUGUCCAUGAAAGGUUUAAUAACUAUUACUCUAUAAAUUAGAUAUAUAUUUUUAAUAAUGAUUUUAGUAAUAUAAAGUACAGUGUGAACAUACAACGACAUUUAAGAUUUGAUGUUUAAACGUUUUGGAAAUUUUGUCCAUAUUAUUAGUUAUGUAUUUUUUUUUUAAAUAUGAUGCAAAGUCCUUUAAGUUGUUUGUCUCGUAUGUCAUUUAUGUCUAUUGAAACGUGAAUAUAUAAAUCAUAAAAUAUCCUGUUUUUAGGGUGCUGUCGUAUGUUGUAAGACUUAUAUUUUAUAAUGUGUGUAACUGCCAUAGUAGUGGUUAGUUGUUUUUUAUAUAUGUUUGCCAUGCACUAAUACAUAUUACCUAUAGUAAAGUAAGAGUAUUAUAGUUAUAAAAUAUUAACCCAUUUUUAUAAUCUUUGAUAUUUUAAUGUUAAUUCAGGUAUUUGGAUUGCCAGAAAUAUGAAUAACUAAAAUACCCCAUGCAUCUUCGACUUGCCAAAAUAAAAAAAUAUGUGAAAGUAAUAACAAAUUGAUUAAUUUAUAAAACCAUAUAUUUAUGGCGAAUACGUUUUUAUAAGAGUAGUAAAUAUACAUCUAUGAUUAAUUAUUAUUAAAGAAAGCUUAUGUUUCAUUUCGGUUCAGAGAUGAUCCACCAUCCCCAUACGACUAUUUCGGUCUCUUCAGACCUCUUCAGUGGGGCUACGUGAAUACCUCUGAAUCGAAUACGCAGCAGAAUUAUAAAAAUAAUUCUCAUAUCGGACGCUGUCGCGACAUCUAUUAAAGAAAUGAGAAGUCCCAGAUUUUUUUUAUUUAAUUUAAAAGUAUUUUGCAAUCUGUUGAGUGUCAACAAUAAACAAAAGUAAUGACAUUGACUAAGGACAAGAAAGAUUUUACUCACUAGUAAAAUCAAAAUACAAUUUUUAUAAAGUUGUGUAGAAAAUAAUUACAUUUUAUAACUACUAACUAAUUAGUUUAAAAGUUUACUCUAAAUGGUAAGUCCAGUGGUUUGAACCUCUUUAACUUACGCUGUUCUUGGGAAUUGUCUAGGAGGUUAAGUGCAAACUGGUUUUCAUGAUCCUCCAACUUGGCAAUGUAUGCAGCGCUACGUUUUGUGAUGACUUCUUGUACCAUAUCCAUUUUAAGGUCUCGAUGAAUAAUUCUGUUGUUGAUGUACCAAGGUGCAUUAGUGAUGGUUCUGAGGGUUUUUGAUUGGAAGCGUUGGAUAAUUUCUAUGUUGGAGUGACUGGCUGUUCCCCAUAGUUCCAACCCAUAUAUCCCAGAUUGGCAUAAGUAUUGCCUUAUAGAGCAGCAAUUUAUUAUCCAGAGAUAGUCUUGAUGAACGGCCCAUUAACCAAUACAUAUUUCUUAAUUGGAGACCUAGUUGCUUUCUCUUGGUCCAGAUAUGUUUCCUCCAUGUGAGACUUCUGUCCAAGUGAAUACCAAGAUAUUUUACCUCGUUGGCUGAUGGUAAUUGGCGAUUGUUUAAAAUUACAGGACAGUUCCUCUUCGUGUUGUAAAUGUAACAUGAAUAGAUUUUCCUUCAUUGACUUUAAUUUUCCAUUCCAAAAACCAAUCUUGUAUUCUGUCUAGAUACGCUUGAAGGAGAUGCGAGGCAUAAAUAGGGUCAGUGUGUGAGGCUAGGAUUGCAGUAACGUCGGCAAAUGUUCCUGGCAUCAUUUCUUCUGUAGGUGGUCUCUCCUCUAGUGGUUCCUGAAGAGUUGGAGGUAUAUCUGCGAUAAACAAGAGAUACAAGGUAGGUCCCAGCACACUACCCUGCGGUACGCCAGCUUUGAUAGAAUAGAGUUUGGAAAUUGCAUCUUGGUAUUUAAUAAAAUAACACCUACCUGACAAAUAUGACUCAGAAGAAUGUAAAAGCUGUGCGGUAUUGUCCUUUUUAGCUUGUAUAGCAGGCCUUCAUGCCAUACCUUGUCAAAUGCCGCUGAACAGUACGCCUCAAAAUCAGCAUUUAUAUGUUUUACCACUCUGUGAACUUGUUGGAUUGUUGAGUGAUGGGGCCGAAAUCCAAACUGGUGGUCUGGAAUUAGAUUUUUGAUCCAGGGUUCGAGUUUUUUUACUAAUAGUUUUUCGAAAACUUUAGACGUGAUCGGCAAGAGGCUGAUUGGCCUGUACGAUGUAGUUUCUUUUUGAGGUUUCCCCGGUUUUAGAAUGGUUAUUAUCUGAGACACUUUCCAUUGAUCAGGAAAGUAACCUAAGUUUAAUAUGGCAUUGAAUAUAAACAUUAGAAGUUUUAUGCAUUUGAGAGGUAAUUCUUUCAACACUUUUCCAUUGAUCAAGUCGUACCCUGGAGAUUUUCUAUCGUUUAAAUUGUUAAUAGCUAAGAUGACUUUGGACGAUUUAAAUUUCGGAAUAGGUAAACUCAUUUGAUAUGGACUUUGAAGAAAUGAGAAUACAUCUACUUCCACAGGUGAAUUCAUUUGAUUGGGAGUAAAUACUUCGGAGAAAUACUCUGCAAAACAACUUGCUUUCUCUUGUGCACACGAGCCCAUUCUCUGUCCGAUUUUCUGAUUGGAGGUGACGGUUUCUGGGUUUGUUUCAGUUUUCUCGUGGCUUUCCAUAGCGAAUAAUCGCUAUCUUUAGUGGAAGCUAAAUUUUCCAAGUAGCACUGAAGUGAUUGGUUUUUGAGGUCUUCGAACAGCUUUUUUAAUUCCCUUGAUGCACUUUUGAAUCUACGCUUAUCCGCAGGAUCUCUGGUCUGUUGCCGUCUUUUCCUCAAUCUUCUCUUUAACAAUAUUUUUUCUUUGACUACUUGUGGGCAGUCAUUUAUUAUGCAUUUAUCUUGUAUUGUUGGUGUUGUUUGCCAGGCAGCUGAUUGGAUAUUUGUAGUUAGUUGUUCCACAGCAAGAAAAGUCCCAAGAAGUCUCAGAUGUAAACAAUAAAUCUGAAAAUUCUCGUGGAACUUAAUCUCUGCCUUUUACAAUUUAUAAGGCAAGAAGACGAAAGGGAAUCUACAAUAUGCAGUCACAUUCCGUCUAUUCGUAUAGGAAAAAUUCCAACGAAAGUUGAUUCCGUGUACUCAAUAUACAGGGUGUCCAGAAACUCUACCGACAAACGAAGACAGUAGAUUCCUCAGAUAAUUUUAAGACAAUUUAACCCAAUUCACCUAGUCUGAAAAUGCUACCUAAGGGAGCUAGAGCUCUUUGAAGAUGGCGUCAUGUAAUUAGUUUUUCUUAAAUACCUCCAGAACGCUUCUAUUUAGAAAAACAAAAAUUGGUAUGCGUAUUUACUUUCCAGAAAUGAAUCGAUUCCAUCGAUUGCGAAUUUGACUCUGAAUUAUUAAAUUGUGAGGUAUUCUAGUACUAAAAGGUACUCUUACUUUAAGUCGAUAAGAUUAUAACGUUUUCUAGAAAAAUCGAUUUGAAAAUUUUUCGUUCUUUGAAUUUCAAAAAAAAGAUUCAAAAAAAAACUAUUUAGAAAGAUGAAAACUGGUACAUUUAUUUAUAUUCCAGAGAUUAAUCGAUUUCAUUAAUGGCGAAUUUCUAGAAACGGUCAUAGGCGUCCGUUUUGGGUAGGUCAACAGUUAUUUUAUAGCAUAACUUUAUUGUCUUUAAUUUUUAAGUAUUUUUGACACUAGAUUAUUCAAUUAUGAGAUAUUCGAGUACUAAAAGUUACUCUUGCUUUAAGUUGGUAAAAUACAUCGUUUUUUUAAUGUUUUUCAUUCUUUUUUUUUUUUCAAAUUCCCAAAACUAAAAACUUUCAAAUCGAUUUUCUAGAAACGGUGUGUCCUACCGACUUAAAGUAAGAGUACCUUUUAGUACUAGAAUACCUCACAAUUUAAUAAUCCAGUAUCAAAAAUGCUUAAAAGUUGAAGACAAAAAAGUUAUGCGAUAAAAUAACCGUUGCCCUACCCAAAACGGACGCCUAUGACCAGUACUAGAAAUUCGCAAUGGAUGGAAUCGAUUCAUUUCUAGAAAGUAAAUAUGUAUACAAAUUUUCGUUUUUCUAGAUAGAAGCGUUCUGGAGGUAUUUAAGAAAAACUAAUUACAUGGCGCCAUCUUCAAAGAGCUCUAGCUCCCUUAGGAAGCAUUUUCCGACUAGGUGAAUUGGGUUAAAUCGUCUUAAAAUUAUCUGAGGAAUCUCCUGUCUUCGUUUGUCGGUAGAGUUUCUGGAUACCCUGUAUAUAAAUGAAAAAUUAAAGACAGCUAUGUUUCAUUUCGGUUCAGAGAUGAUCCACCAUCCCCAUACGUCCGUUUCGGUGUCUCCAAACCUCUUCAGUGAAGUCUACUACUACUGAAGGGGCUACUCAUACAUCUAUGAGUUACGAAAUAUCAGGAAAAUAUAAUAUAGUUAUAUCUCAGUUACGUUUUCUUGAAUAUUUUGUUUUCAACAAAGAUCAUCAAUGCGUUAAUCUUCCACUAUUUCUGUAAUUGUUAUUCGAGAUGACCUACAUAAUUUCUAUUAGGAAUCUUACGGAAUAGAAAAUUAUGGAAAAAAUAUUCGGAUUUGGGAUAGGAAAAUUUUGAGAAAAGAUUUUAUGUGGUAUAAAGCAGGCUAAUGGUAAAUGGCAAAAAGAACAAACCAAAAGCUAAUGGAGAUGUAUAAGAGACAUAAAAUAACACAAAAAAUCAGGACGCAGAGAGUUGAAUAUUUGGGACAUUUUUAACGAAUGCCACAAGAAAGAAAGAGUUUUGCAAGCAGAAUAACAAAGGAAGAAUAGAAGAGGGAGACCAAGAAGGAAUCGGAGAAAUGGGUACAAGGGACUAGAGAGAACAAGUGAAGGACCGGAAAAAGUGGAAGAAUCUAGUCAAGACACGAAGCCAAGGGAGCCUCCAAGGCCUGUUGUUGUCUGAAUUAUGAAAAAAAACCUCAUUUUGUCAUAUAUCUACCAAAUCAUCGACUUCUGGGACUUAUAGCUUACAUAUCUAUGAAAAUGAUAAUGAAAAUCUAUGA
rnacentral:misc_RNA from 1 species